rnacentral:lncRNA from 1 species
CGGGAGAGGAGUUUCCUAACACUUGGAGCCCCUUUGAGUUGUUCUGUGUAUUGGGUGGAGGAGGGUGAAUCCGAGAGGAGGGAGGAGGGUGAAUCCGAGAGGAGGAAGGAGGAUGAAGAGCCUAGCCUGCGCCCCACCUCUGAUUGUAGAAACCUGCCGCCGCUCGCCGCCUCUUUGUCUGCUCCGGGACUUGGAACAAAAGGGGGAACUCUGAUGAACUCUCUUUCCUCCCCUCUCCCCCGGACGCCGGGGUAUCUCCCUCUCGCAACUUUGCCGCCCCGACUUUCUCUGCUGUCAGGCCGGGAAAAAGUGUCCGAACGCCUCGUGGACUGCAGCGGGGGAAAUGUCCCUUAAAAGUGCGACGAAGUGGGGAAGAAGGUGUAAUUACUAUUAUCAGCAUCUAGAAAGCAUCAUGAAUUUGCUGGAGUACUUCCUAGCACUGACCUCCUUCAUUCUGCGUUGUUCUUACUGGAUCUUUCCAUCAGCCAACAAUAUGGAAGUACCAAUACAAGGUCAAAUCAUUCCUGGAUUCAUCUGGAGUUGCUUAAAAGUUAAAUCAUUGGAAUUUUUGAUGAUACCUUUUCUAUAUGGAUUACAAUUUGAUCGCUGGGAAUUCUCCACCUUAAAGAAGAUGACACUUGUUUACAUGAUUGAAGCUGAAACAAGAAGGCAGCGUGUCACCUUGUUCAGCGUCAGCUGGGAAUGUGUGUUGGGCAACUUAGAACUUUCACUGCUCUGUGCAUGUUUGAGAAAGCAGGAAAGCACCAUGCAUAUUGAUUUUGGGGUUACACGUAAAUUUCUGCAAGUUAGGUGAAUUUGCAAAUACAGAAUCUGUAAACAGUAAGGUUUGACUCUAUUAAUGUCAAUAAUAAAACAUAAUGAGAAAAAUAUGAGAUAUUGCAAUACACAGAAUUCAAAUAGGGCAAUGGGAAGGUGCCUGGGGCGGGUGCUACAGAUUGGGAGGUCAGCUGAGGUGUCUCUGAAGAGGUUUCAUCUAAACUGAGAUCUGGAUUACAAGGAGGAGCCUGUCCUGUGAAGAUCAGGGGGAAGGGCAUUUGAGGUGGGAGUGAGUACAGGCAGGGCAAAGGCUCCAAGACAGAAUGAGUUUGGUGUGAGGAAACCCAAAGAGACCACUGUGGCUGCCAGAAAUGGAGAGCUUUGGAGGCAAGUACAGGCCUGGUCACUAGGGCCUUGUCGGCUGGAGUGGGGGUAAGGAUUUGUGCUCAGUGAGUGAUUCUUGCUAUAUUUCUCCGUAAAUGUUGCGGCAUUUUUUUCUACCCUCAGGUGACUACAGAUGUGUUAACACCCAGCAUGUUCCGGUAGGAGACUUUCUGGAUGGGGAAGAUUUCCAGGGGCUACUGCCACCACAUUCAUCUAAUUUUCUAUUUUUUAUAGAGACAGAGUCUUGCUAUGUUGCCCAGGCUGUUCUUGAACUCCUGGCCUCAAGUGAUCCUCCUGUCUCAGCCUCCCAAUGUGCUGAGAUUACAGGUGUGAGCCACCACACCUGAUCCUCUUCUGCUGCUGGUUAAUAGUUACACGCUUUUCCUAAUGCUAAUCACUGACAACUACUGAUUAAUCCACACAUUUUAUGUGUGCCUACUUUUAGAAAACCCAGCCAAACAUCAUACCUUCCUAGGUGCAAGAAUCCUAUUUCCAACUUUUAAAAUUCCCUAUGGGAAUUGGCAACAAGCUCAUUUCACUGGUGGGUUUGCUGAAGCAUUAUCACAAGACAGUCAGAAUGACUGAUGAGUGCUCUUCAGACUGCAACCUCCGCCUCCUGGGUUCAGGUGAUUCUCCUUCUUCAGCCUCACGAGUAGCUGGGAUUACAGGCGUGCACCGCCAUACCCAGCUAAUUUUUACAUCUUUAAUAGAGACGGGUUUUCACCAUGUUGGUCAGGCUGGUCUUGAACUCCUGAUCUCAGGUGAUCCACCUGCCCCAGCCUCCCAAAGUGCUGGGAUUACAGGCAUGAGCCGCUGCACCCGGCUCCAUUCCUUUUCUCUGCGACAAACCUGCGUGGUGAUAGGUCCACUCCCUUGACUAGUUUAAUUCUGAAGCUUAUUGAUGGAUUCCUCAAACAGAUCUUGUGGACCAAAUUAUUCUAUUUUUCUGUAGAGCCUGGCGAUUUGAGAUAAUCUAUCUGCACAGUUUUGUAGUGUUUGCUUCCAUCACUCAAGAGUAAGACAAUAUGUCAGAGUUAUCUUGAUGGAGGGAUAAGAGAGAGAUAGUUUGGAGACAGAGCAGAAAACCUUUCUAGUGUACUUGGUAAUGAGUGUGAAUCAUGGCAAUACAGUGAAAGACAGUGAUUUACUGCUUUUGAGGGCGUGCAUGUAUAUGAUUAACGGAUGGAAGUGCAGGACUCCAAGAUUUACUUCCUUCCCUUUCCAGCAGAAUUACCUGAGACGAGUAAAAUCUACUGGUGGAGUCACUCCAUUAUUCUUAUCUGUGGAGAUCUAGAUCUUGAUUUGAAAGUUUCUGAGAAAAUCUUCAGCUCAGACUUGAGGGUCAACUUUACCAGCUGAAGGUGAUCUGCAUUUACUGCUCAACCACAUCUAAUUUGAUGUCCUCUGCAGAUUUAAAAUGUGUGCCUUCUUUUCCGUCACCAAGUCAUCCCUGGGUUACUACUGAACAUCCUUCUCAAUUCCCCCCGACCCAUGGAUGGCUGUUCUCCAUUGUCUGUUUCACCAGAUGUCCUCAAAACAAACAGACAGAAGAAGGAAGUGGCUAAUGGAGCUGUGGAGUCCAAGUGUGACUGCCAAGAGGAAUCCAGCAAAGCCAAAAAGCCCAAGCAUGUAGCCCUGCCCGAAGCACGCCACACGCAUGGAAAACCCAGAGGAAAUGAGUGAGGAUCAAUGGGAAGAAGAGAGCCAGCCAGGUGAGUUCGAUGCCUUCUCCAUCCGUCAGUGAGGGUGUGGAGAGCCUGCAGGCGUGUGCCUCCCUCUGUAACUUGCUAUUCCUUGUGUAAUGUCAAGUGGAAGUGUGAAGCACCACAAACUGCUCUGAGCAGAGCCCACUUCCCUUCACCCACGGAGAGCGUGAAGCAGUUACACCAACAUCAAUCAAGGAAAACCCACAGGCUGAGCUCACACGGUUGAAGCAGGUGAAGUUGAAGAUUUGUCCAGGAGCAGAUAGCUGAAGAGAGAGAGAGAGAAGAGAGAACGGCUUACAGCUCAGGUCCUCUCUCCAUGCUUAGGAACCACUACAAAUGCUACUGCCUUGAGUCUCAUUUUGUUUCCCUCUGGAAACCACAUGUGUACCUUGUUUGCAACAGUAUGGGCAUUGGAUGGAGUGAAAAACAUUCUUAGCUGAGAAAAACAGCAAGUGCGAUGUGUCCGAAGUGAGAGGAACGUGGCAUAUGGAGUCAUGAAGGAAGGCAGGGAUAGCCAAAGAGAAAUAAGGAAACCAAUGGGUAUGAGAGCAGAGUGGAGCAUAGGCAGGGCUUGGAUCUAUUACUGGUUUCUGUGACAUGUGUUAUGAAGAGUAUCAUUUCACUGACUGGCUCUGCCCAAAUAUGUUUGACCAUAUUUACAUCCCAUCUCUCUCACUCUGGACUGCUGAAGAAGCUUACACUAUCAACGUACUCCUUUUUUUUUUUUUUUUUUUUUUUGAGACGGAGUUUUGUUCUUGUCGCCCAGGCUGGAAUGCAAUGGUGCGAUCUCAGCUCACUGCAAUCGAUGUACUUCUCUUGCAUCUCCAUUAAAAAUUUCUUUAUUGUGUUAGUAUUGGAUUAUAACCCAAAGUAUAAAAGAAAUACCCAUGAGUCCAUACUGAUAUAAAAAAAGAUCAAAUAAAUAAAUAACUGGGAGAGUGAGAUGAUUUUCCUAUGCAGAAGAAUGCCAAACAAAUUAUGUAGAUUUUCUGCUUACAAAUGGGUGGAGCAUAACUUCCCACUCCUUAAAUUUGGGAUGCAUAUAGUGACUUUCUUCCAAAGAGUACAGUACAGAAAAGUGGGUGAUGAGAAGAGUAACUUUACAGUGAAGAAACAUGACAAACACUACCACAGCCAGGCAAUCAAAGUUCACAUCAAUAGUAUAAGGCAUGCUGAUGGUAUGUACCUUUAAUAUAAUUUGGUGAGAAUGGUACUUCACCUCUGUGGUCUUCCUCCCCAAAACCCAUAACCCCAGUCAAACCCUAAGAAAAACAUCAGCCAAACUCAAAUUUAGGGCAUUCUGCAAAAAUAACUGACUGACUAGUACUCCCUCAAACUGUCAGGGUCACCAAAAACAAGGAAAGUCUAAGAACCGUGGGCACGCAAGCUUCCCCUGGUUACCUGAGCUGCUCCUGCCGUCUCCCGCCUGGGCUUCGCCGUGGUGCACCCGAUCCCGGAAUCGUGCGUCUGCGCCCUGCGAAAGAAGGACCUGCUGGCGGAGCUCCGGCCGGGGUCUCCUGCCUCGCAGCUGGGCGAGGGGACUUGGAGGACAGGGUGAAGCUGCAGAAGACCUGGGGUGGGAUGGCUAGAGAGGACGCCAAGGACUGGGGAAGGGGAAGUUAGGAAUACCUUACAUCCAAUGCCCACCCGUGCUCCGCAGGGCAAGGGCAGCCGUCGCCUCGGCCGCGUGCACCCAGCUCAGGCUGUUCCCAGGGAUUUAGUCUGGGGGGACAACCCAUGGCGAGAUGUGGUGGCAUUUUACCUCAGAGUGGAGCUGAAGAUGGAUAAACAAGGUAUCUGAUGUAUCUGCCUGAGAAGGCAGAGCUGGAGAAAGGCGGAGCGAGGGAGCGCGUGAAAAGAAAGAGAUGCCGAAUGCCGGGUGAUUGUCUGCCGCUUGCUGUGCAUUCUCAUUCUAGGGAGGAUGGCAUAAUUUAUAACCCAGCACAUGGAUAGAGGAACUGUAAAUUGUAGUCUGGAUGUCCCCGGCGCUGUCGACGAAGGAACUGAUGGGCUAGGUGAAGGCUGAAUUAUCAAUUUGUCAGGGGGGAUAUGUUCAUUAAAUGAAACUGUGAACGCUUAAACAUGCAAAUUAAUCAUGCGAGAAAAUAUCAGUGCAAGCUCUAUCAAUACAAGAUGUUUUACUAAAUAGCCAAAAAUGGCACUGCCAGUCUCCUAUCUCUGUAUCCACACAUAAAUUUUUUUGUUUGUUUUUGUGCAUUUCAAUAGAGAGAAGUCAAAAGUUACAUUCGAGUAAAUAGGGUAAAUUAAAUUCUAAAAUUCCCACUUUAGAAUUUAAAAAACAACUAAGGAGUUUUGAUUUUUGGUGAUCUCCCGAGUUUAAACCUUGAAGGAGCUUUUGCUGUCUUGAAGCCAAACAGCAGCUAGUCAGUAAUCGUUAUGGGAAGUCAGGGUACCACAGUUGUUGAGAUUUCAAGGCCACGUUCACUUCCCUCCCUUGUCUCUUGUGCUUGGAGAUUUGGGUGCUACUACAGCCUCCACAAAGAGACAGUGGGAGGAGCUGAUUGGUCCGUAGGCUUAGAAUGUUUACUCUUAUUUGUUUUCAGUGAUUUUGUUUGUGUUAGUUCAAACAGCUGGUCAUUAAUGCAGUCCCCAUUUCUAGAGCGAAGUGCUGCUGGACAUGAAUGCCCGCCUGAUUAAUGCUGCCCCUCCGAGGGUCCUUCACCCAGCAGUCAUGCUCGCAGCAGAAUAAUGUAGCAUGAUGUGAUUGCACUCUAACAGGAUAGUAUGUCAUUGUGUCACCAAGCAAUUGAGGUUAUUAUGGGGCAGGGCAGACAGACGGGACAGUGGGGUUACUAGACCGUAGCAUUUUUAGAAAUACAGGCCUGACCUACUUAGAGUUAUUCUCUCUGGCUGGCAGCUGCAUGGUACAUAAAGUCUCCUGAUAGGCUGAGUCUGUUGCUAGGGGGAAUUAGCAUGAAUUUUUCCACACACAGACUCAGUGGCUGAAUGAUAAAAGCUGACUGGAAUUAAAGAGAUUUGGUUUAGUAUUAUACAGAUUUAUGUGCCUCCUUUUCUUUCUCAAGUGCAGAGAAAGAGUGCAAAACACAGAUUUUGUUUCCAUUUGUUCUUUGACCUUCUUGUUCUCUCCCCCUCCCCUCAAGAUGCAUGAGGGGAGGAGGGCAGGGCAGUUAUGAAAUUUUGGUUAAUCUCUCACUGUUGGGGUCACUGAAACGAUGUCGCAAAUUGCAAGAUAUUUAAGCUUAAAAACUGUUGGGAAUGACUAACAGAAGGUUAGAUUAUUUUUCCUCUUCUGUGCACUAAGCUGUUUUGAAGUUGGGGCUCACAGGCAGAAGGAAUUUUCCUUGUCUUGGAUGAGACUUUUGACUUGGACUUUUGGGUUAAGGUUAUAAUGUCUUCUUGUUUUGUUUCUGUUUUAUUUUUGUCUUUUUUUUUCUUAGUUAAUCUAGCUAAUGGUAUAUGCUAGUCGAUUCUCGCACUGCUAUAAUGAAACACCUGAGGCUGGGUAAUUUAUAAAGAAAAGAGGUUUAAUUGGCAUAUGGUUCUGCAGGAUUUACAGAAAGCGUGGUGCUGGCAUCUGAUCAGCUUCUGGGGUGGCCUCAGGAAGCUUACAAUCAUGGUGGCAUUUGAAGUGGAAGCGAGAGAGAGAAGAGGAGAUGCAACACACUUUUAAACAAGAUUUCAGGAGAACUCAUUCACUAUGCCUUGCUUGAUAUCUGUGCAUUUAAUGGAACAUUCACGUCUUCCAGUUUUGUAGUGUGGCUUUCAUGGGAAAAAACUUUCUUCUACAGAUAUGUCCUAGGGUGUCAGUUGGGUAGGGUGCGUUGGCUUUUCUUUGGGUGGGUGCAAUAGUGUAGUCUUUGUACAGUUUCUUCAGCUAUAGUCAACAUCAGCAAUGCCUGUGUGUGCCUCAAUGGCUUAGGCUGUAGAGAUUUGUAUGGCUAUUCCACCUACUUGGGCUCUGCUCCUCGGGGGGUUGGGUGCUGGGCUGGUCCACGCUUUGGAGAAGUGAGGGGCUGGUAAAUCAGUGGCUUGAGUCAGCUCAGGCUCUGCUCCUCACAUUAAAUCUUGAAAGAUGUGAAUUUCAUUACCUCUUAGUUACAUAAAGCCAUAUACAAACUCUUUGUUGUUUGUUUUAAAUCUUAUCUCUGACUUGGUUAUAAAUGAUUGCACUUUUCUACUAUUUCUAACUACAGUAUAGCAGUGCUGAAACAUCUGGGGGGCAAAAGAAAGUUAGAUAGGCUAGUAACACCAAAGUAAUGCUGAAACCUGGAAGGAAAGAAAACACAUUACUUUCCUCUCCAUUCUUCUUUGCUCCCCUUUGAAUAUAUGCUUAUUAUAAUAGCAAGCUGUGUGACCUUGAGCCAUUUAUUUGUCUGGAGCCACAGCUUCUUUACUUACAAAAUAAAGUUAAUGCCAUUUACAUCUCAGAAAUUGUGAAUAUACAUGAGAAAUAUGUUUAUAAAAUCUCAUGAUAUGCUUGUCACACAGUAAGGUUUGGUAAAGUGAAUCCUUCAACAGCGUUCCCCAAUUCUUUCUCUUGUGCUGAAAGUGGACUAUCUAUCUUAGAAAAGACCAUGCAAACCAAAAUAGAAUGACUUGGCUACAGAGUUCUGGAGACCAGAAGGCCAAAAUCAAAAGUAUGGGCAGGCUUGAUUUCUUUAGAAGACUCCAGCGGAGAACUGUGUCUCCUUGCUUCUGAUUCUACAUCUCCAUCCAUGGGCCACUGUUUCAGCAACCUCAGCCAGUGCAACACAACCUCAGCCAAGAAGAGUAUGCAGAGAAAGGAGUCCCCUACCUGCCACAAAACUGUUGUCUGAAAACUGUCUCAUAUUGUCUCAAGUUGUCAUUCAUUGUGAAUUAGACCUGUUUAACAUGUAAUCUGCAACAUGCUUCACUGUCUAAUUUUCCAGAGCCCCUCAUAUAAGGAACUGUAUUAUUGGUAUAAUCAUCAUGGUGAAGAAGUUGGUAUGUGGGGGAGAGAUGACAGAAACAGAGAGUAAGUCAGAGCUGGCUGCCUGACAGAUAAAAAGGAAAUGACCAAAAAAAAAAACUGCAUGUAAGUGGCAAAGAUGACUGUCUGAAAAUAUAUACCUACUUUUUUAAAGGGCUAUCUCAAGCCAUUCUGGAGAAGCACCAAAAGCCACUUUGCUUAUACUGGGAGAAUAGUUUGCUUUCCCUAAUUUGUGAUGAGUGAAACACUGAACAGAGACAUAGAAUAAUAUUCUGUAGUUCAGGGUUGGUGUAAUAUGGCCAGUGGGCGGAAUCUGGUCCUCAGACUGAUUUUGCAAAUAAUCUUAUAGAAACACAGCAACACCCAUUCAUUACAUGUUGUUUAUGGUUGCUUUGGGGUUACAAUGGCAGAGUUGAGUAGUUGUGACAGAGAUCACUAGGCUCACCACAUCUGAGAUAUGUACUGACUGACCCUGUACAGAAAGUUUGCUGCUCUUAGAGGAAUGUGUGUUUCUAGUGUCAGCAAUAAACUUCUUGGAUUUGUUUUUUUUUUUUUUUUUUUUUUUUGGUAGAGAUGGGGUCUUUCUGUGUUGCCUAGGCUGAUCGCAAGCUCCUGGGCUCAAGUGAUCCUCCCAUCUUGGCUCCCAGACUGCUAGGAUUACAGGCACGAGACACUGUGCCCAGGCCCAAAUUCUGUACUUCUCCCAGCUAUUGUGAAGCCUCCGACAUGGUCUGUUCUGAUUCUGUCACCUUUCUCUUCCUUCUCAAGCCCCAGUAGGGGCCUUGCCUCUCCAGCGUACCCUGCUUUUGGAGAUCUUGCCUCCAUGUUUCCAUUAUUGAUGGAGGGACCGUGGCAGGACUUUGCUUUCCAAUGUCACUAUUAUGUCAGCAGGCUAGCCCUGAACCCCACACAGUAAGACCCCUUAUGUGAGGGUUUUACACCUACUUGAUCUUAUUCCUCUUUCCAGGUGAGCACCACACACUGACCUAGCUAGGCUCAGGGUAAGGUAGCUCUUGCUCAUUUUGGCCAGGUAUUUAAUUACGUGACAUUCACAGUGUGCCUUUCUACUUAUCUUUUUAUCCUUUUCAGUUCAAGAAACGUGGCUAUACCAACUUGCCACAGUGCCCAUCCCACUUUGUAGAAGACUUUGAUAUCUGACUCACAGAGAAACUCCUGCCAGGAGUUUAUAUUGUGUGCAGCUGAUUCAGGCAGUAACUUCCACUCAGCGAGGGGGUCCAUUUACAAAAA